CUCUCGGCAACGGAUAUCUAGGCUCUCGCAUCGAUGAAGAACGUAGCGAAAUGCGAUACUUGGUGUGAAUUGCAGAAUCCCGCGAAUCAUCGAGUUUUUGAACGCAAGUUGCGCCCGAAGCCACUCGGUCGAGGGCACGUCUGCCUGGGUGUCACGCACCGUUGCC
rnacentral:rRNA from 1 species